AACGAACGCUGGCGGCAUGCCUAACACAUGCAAGUCGAACGAGACCUUCGGGUCUAGUGGCGCACGGGUGCGUAACGCGUGGGAACCUGCCCUUAGGUUCGGAAUAACUCCCCGAAAGGGGUGCUAAUACCGGAUAAUGUCUUCGGACCAAAGAUUUAUCGCCUUUGGAUGGGCCCGCGUUGGAUUAGCUAGUUGGUAGGGUAAAAGCCUACCAAGGCGACGAUCCAUAGCUGGUCUGAGAGGAUGAUCAGCGACACUGGGACUGAGACACGGCCCAGACUCCUACGGGAGGCAGCAGUGGGGAAUAUUGGACAAUGGGCGAAAGCCUGAUCCAGCAAUGCCGCGUGAGUGAUGAAGGCCUUAGGGUUGUAAAGCUCUUUUACCCGGGAUGAUAAUGACAGUACCGGGAGAAUAAGCUCCGGCUAACUCCGU
rnacentral:rRNA from 1 species